GUUGUUUGGUAGAUUGUAUUAAAAUAAUGUUAAAUAGUGUGUAUUAGCAAUGUUUGUAUUAAUUAUGCUUACAUUAGUUAUACAUAGAUUAUUUCUUAUGCAUUGUUUUGUUUGGUGUAUUAAAAAUAACAAACAUUGUACAAAAAAAAUUAUUUACAAGAAUAUUCUCCACAAUUAUGGUGACAAAUGUAAAAGGGAUUUUGAGG
rnacentral:lncRNA from 1 species